rnacentral:rRNA from 1 species
UGGGGAAUAUUGCACAAUGGGCGCAAGCCUGAUGCAGCCAUGCCGCGUGUAUGAAGAAGGCCUUCGGGUUGUAAAGUACUUUCAGCGGGGAGGAAGGGAGUAAAGUUAAUACCUUUGCUCAUUGACGUUACCCGCAGAAGAAGCACCGGCUAACUCCGUGCCAGCAGCCGCGGUAAUACGGAGGGUGCAAGCGUUAAUCGGAAUUACUGGGCGUAAAGCGCACGCAGGCGGUUUGUUAAGUCAGAUGUGAAAUCCUCGGGCUCAACCUGGGAACUGCAUCUGAUACUGGCAAGCUUGAGUCUCGUAGAGGGGAGUAGAAUUCCAGGUGUAGCGGUGAAAUGCGUAGAGAUCUGGAGGAAUACCGGGGGCGAAGGCGGCCCCCUGGACGAAGACUGACGCUCAGGUGCGAAAGCGUGGGGAGCAAACAGG